GUAGAUAUGAAUUAAGACUGUCAUGGGUUGGCUUGUAGAGGUCUAAGGUGUUGGACAAAGGGCUACAACACUCAUGAGUGCUCAUAAGUUCUGAGUAUUGGAUUCAACCCGCGCUCAUUGGAAUCACUUCAUGGAUUUUAUCACGAGUGAUCAUGAGACGAUAAUAUCUUAUAUUCUUCAAACCUAGAGAUAUGAGUUGUUACUAUGAGUUGAUAGUACAUUGAUUGCACGAAAACGCAUUUGGUAACUCGGUGCUAUAAAACGUGCCUUUGUGUAUGAUUCAACAAGUAGUAGAACAAGCCAUAUGAGUCGAAGUUUAUCCAUUCCUUUUACCUUCGGGAUAAAAGCGAUAUCUGUGGGCCCCUCGAUGAUUUGAUGAUGACAAAUGGAAGUGCUCGGCCGGGCCAGGACUGAUUUGAUUUGUUCAAUUAGUCAGUCGUCAUAAAUCGGAAAUCGGGAAACAACAAAUGGACAGAGAGAAUGAUUAUAAUCCAUGUCUCAGUCCAUAUGAUAUCUAGAAUGGAGGAAUAUAUGAUCCCUUAUCUAAUGGACAAGUCAUUGACAAAGGUCAGAGUUCAUCUACAAGGUCAGAGUUCGACAGAAGCUUUUGAGAGCUACGAUUGCCAGUUGGUUCCUGAAGUCAUACGCAAUAAUAGUUUUAGACUUAUCCAAGUGGGAGACUGUUGGAUUAAUGUCUAAGUCCAUAACUAUAAUUGGUAAGACUUGACCCGACCCGGCAUGGUCCAUUUGGGUUGCAUACCAUCAUGCACUUGGAUAGACUAUAAUGAGAGAAAUAAGACACUUAUGGUUAUUAAUAUAUUAUAAGUUCUAGUAUAUUAAUAAUAAGAAUAAUAAGAUUAUUUAAUUAGUAUUGAUCAAGAAUUAAUCUAGGAUUAAUUAAGUGAUCAAAAGAAGACUAAUUAAAUAUAUGGGUUGAUUGUGUAAAUCAUCCAUACUUGUAUAGUGGGCUAAUGCUCCAUGGAUAAUCAAGUUGGGCUAAAACCCAUAGGAUGGUCCAUGGAUGCUCCAUGGUGUAUUUGUACCCAUGGAUCCAAGGAAAUGGAAAGCCAUGACAAUUAAGAGUUUACCCUAAUUGUGUAACUAUAUAAGCAUCUUAUUAUUGAGGAAAAAUCGGCCACUAGUGAUAGUGAAGAAAGGGCUAGCCGAUUUUGAAGAGUGUAGAAUUCUCUCAAGUCAUUCCAAGUGUUUUGAUGAUUGUGAUUCCAUUUGAGGUGUCACACUUGGGGCACUAGGCACUCAAGCUUCAUGAAGACUUUCUACAUCAAAGAGGUAUGUAUUCUAUCUUGUUAUAGUCAUUGUUUUGUAUGCUAGAUUAGGAUAAUACCUUGGAAGUUCUUAUUUGCAUGUAUAAUAGAGAAAACAUAGAUCCAAGGUAUUUAGGGUUGCAUGUACACUUAGGAGUGUUAGAAUGCUCAAAACCCAACAGUGGUAUCAGAGCCUAGGCUUGUUUUCUUGUUAUACCUGCAAUAGAAGCUGAAAAAACGAAUCUGGUGCUGUCUGGCCAUCAGACUCGGCGAGUCCAUCAGGAGACUCGACGAGUCCAUGCCUAAAAAGUGAUGAAUUCGAUCCAACUCGCCGAGUUUGUUCAUGCACUCGACGAGUUGGACCCCCAGACAGCAUAUUUUCGAGUUUUUUGGCUAGAAAUGGACUAGGAACAUUACCCUAAGUUGUUUUUGAACUUAUAAACUUGUUUUUGAUGUGGUAAUGUUCAUGCUAAUCCAUUUUCAAAGAUAAUUGUCAAUAGAUUCAUGUUUUGUAUUAGUUUAAGGUUUAGACUAAUUACAUGAAAAAGUUUGAUUUGAAUUAUCUUGUUCUUAUGAGUUGCUUAGAUUAAUAGAAAUGUUGAGUGAAAUAGUUGUUUUCAAUCCAUUUUAAUCUAAGAGUUGAGUAUAAAAUGUGUUUGUGUAACUUGUCCUCAAGUUACAUGAAGAGUCACAUUAAAGACUCAUAAAACUCAUAAAAGUUGGCAAUGGUUACAAAAUGAAGAGUCUUGUGUCAUUGAAUAAUUUUUUUUGACUCCAUAACUUGUCCUCAAGUUAUGGAAGUUCAAGAGUCACUUCAUUAAAGAAAAAUAUGUAACCAUAAUUAAAUCCAUAAGUUAUAAAAUAAAGAAAAAGUUAGUUCUUUUAUUAGUUUAAAGUCUUCCAUAACUUGUCCUCAAGUUAUGGAACUUGAAGAGUUUUUGGAUUAAAACUACUUUAAACACAUAAGUUAUGGAAUUAAUUAGUUUUGAAUAGUUUCAAAACUUGCCCUCAAGUUUUGGAAUUUGAAAAGUUUUCAAGUAUGAAUACUUUAAUUCCAAGUUAGCCCUUAGAAUUUUAAAAGUUAAAAUUCAACCCUUAUACUUUAUAAUAUUAUAAGUUAAUAAUAUAUAUAUGUAUAAGAGUAAAGUCAGUCUUACCGCUAGUACGCCUCAUUCACGAAGCCGGUCUAUAAGGUGGGUAUAAGGUUGUUGCCUAUAAAAUGGCAACUUAAUGGGUGUCCACUCUCACCCACCGCUUGCUUGACUGGUGGAGGGUCGUUAGCCGAACGGGUUUGACAGGACUAGAAUUCUCCCUUCAUUAAAAGUAUUAAUGAUAAUACUAAGUAACUAAACUCUUAAUAAUACCCAAUCUUAGUUACUUAGGAAAAAUGUGAAUAAGGUGCUAAUCCAUGAAAUUACACUUUACACUUUGUCUAAGUCGUUAGUGGAGCGUGUGUGGUUAACCGGCACACUAACUUGGACUUAACAAGGUAGGUAAAGGGUGACUUAAUAUUUAUCAUAGUAUCGAUGGAGCGUGUGUGGUUAACCGGCACAUCGAUUGAGGGGUAAUUUAUUAAGGGUACCAAGUGAUUUGCAUGGUUACUUCACACCUUGUUUUGUGAUCCUCGGCAUCCCAGUCACAAAACCUGAAGGGCACACUCGAGAUUGAAACAUGCCUUUGAAAAGUUCAAUGAAUCUCAAAGAUCUAGGAGUUUCAAAACCAAUUAAAACCUAAUAAUACAUUUCGUUUAUCUUGGUGGAAAUUGGUGAAUCGUCAUUCACCUACCUUCAAAUAUUUUAUAGCUUGGAUUACGGCAUACCUCUUCUAAGUUAUAAAAUAGUUUGUUGGGUCCUAGCCUUAAUAUUUCAUAUUGGGUGUCAUAUUAAGGACUUUAAAUCAACUAUCUUGAAUAUCUCCCAAAAGAUGUCUGGUUUAGACACCUAUGAUCUUCCCAAAUCUCUUGAAACAAGGUUUCCUAAUGAAGAUGAUGUCCCAUGGAUAUCAUACUUCUUCACCUCUUCAAAUUAUUCUCCCUAACCCACAAGUUCUUGAAAAGUUUAAGGUCACUCAGGCCCUAUUAGCAAGGCAAGGUCUAGGUGUGGUCACAUCUUGGAGAUGUAGUCACAUAUUGACAAGCCGGGAGAGUUGGGUGUCAAAGUCUUGAGAAAGUUGGUGGUUCAACCACUUUCUAAGUCACAUAGUGAGUUCCUUUGGGACACCUAUGAAACAGACUAUGACAAGACCCUUAAUGAUCUUAUCUAUUUGCUAAGAUCAACUUCCUAAAACUUUAUGGACAUUGACAAUGAUGACAUUGGAUAUCCAGUAAAGCAUUCUCUUCCCAAUGGAAAGGGAUCGGCCAUAGUCAACUCGGUUGACCAAAUGGUAAAGAGAAAAGCUAAGUCUGUGAUAGUCCCGUGUACCAUUAUCAAAGGGUCCAUAUGUUUAUAUUGCCAAAGGAAGGGGCAUUGGUUGCGAAGCUGCCAAAUUUACCUAAGGAUGUUAAAGUCAAUAAGUUUGACUCUACUUCAGGUAAAGUCCACUAUCUAACUCUGUUAAGUUUCUAUUCUGAGAUUCUUGAUACAUGAUGUGACUGGGUCACAUGGUGAUGUUUUAAGAAUCAAAGAAAAGUGAAGAAACUUAAAGAAAGAAUAUGCUGAAUCUGAUGGCGUAGAUGGAUUUCUAUCGCAUAGUUUGAAGAUCGGAUUCUUGAGCUACUUCUUAGGAGUUAUGAGAUAUUGCUUAGGAAUAGAUAACAACAAGUUUUCAUAUGGAUUGUAAGGAUAAGUUUUUCCGCAAAGUUUUAAAAUAAAAGAAAAUUUUUUUGAUUUUAUUUAUUUUAAAAUAUCCUUACAAUGGCUUUUGAGGAAAAAUUGUUGCUUAUAUGAUUCCAUUAAGAGCAAGAGUGGAAAUAUGAAAUUGAUUCUUUCAUUUGUGGUAAUGUCUAGAUUUACCAAAUAAGGAAAGAUUCUCAUCACCCAAGUUUCAAUUGGACCGGAACUUGGAAUCAUGCAAGUUGUAUAGCAUGAUGAAUGAGAACUUUCAAGUUUUGGAAAAUUAAGACUAAUUACUUGUUCACAUGGAUGUGUGAGUCAAGUAAAGGACUAAGGGAUCGAGUACACAUUCUUGUGCACUGAUUAAGUCCACCACUAAAGAUCGAUAAGAAGAAUCAAAUAAGGCAGAAGGAUAAAAGUUUCUCAAAUCUGAAAAGAUGGGAGAGUACUUUAGUAUCAGUUUUGUGAUCAUCUUAAUGAUUAAGAAACCAUAUCAAAAUUAGUUCUCUAAGGAAAUCUUAGUGCAUUCUUAUGACUAAGAAGAGGAACUUGAAUUGUUGAAAUGGUUAAAUCAAGAAGAUGAGUCAUACUUCGUUCCAAUACAAGUCUUAGAGUCAUACUCCAAGAUUGUCAUUUGAGUGACAUGUCUUAAAGAAGGUUUAAAACACUUGUCAAAUGUAAGAGUAAAAGUUUUCUACUCUUGUACAUUUGAAAUUGGUAAGUUGUGAUGUUUUGGAUAAAACAAAGACCAACUUAGGCCAAUUGGGUAAAGUGUUUUUCUUGAUUAGAAUCCGCACUAUCUCUUGGAUGUUUGACAAGGGAGUCUUAUAUGUCAAGAGGACAGUGGGAGUCUUAAAGGUCUUGAAAGUCUCAAGAAAUAAUCAAGAAUAAAACCUAAAGUUCUUCACUAGCACACGACUUGAGGUUUAUAACCUAUCGUGUUGACAUAUCUGUGCCCAUUCCAGUUAAAGUUGGCUUUGCAUAUGAGUUCUUAGAGUUCUCAGUUUGUUGCAUAACAACUUGGAAGCAAUGGCAGGCCCUUGAGCUGCCAGGUGGCAAGAAGUUAAGAUUGAGUUCAAUCCAUAUGGUUUUGGAUUUGUCAUUAUCUUUGUCUUGUGAUUAUGGUUUGACAAAUUCAUAUGGGUAGGAACUCAUACACCAUAUAAAUCUAAGUGUCAUAAGGUUUCUCUCCGAUUCAUGAAAAUGAUGGUGAGGAAACGCUUUCACUAAGUAGAUUUUACGAAGAUAUCAAUUGUGUUAUUUGCAUUUUCAAAAGUCGUUAGUGGAGCGCGUGUGGUUAACCGGCACACUAACAUGGACUUGUGAGAAAUGGCAAAUGCCUAAGCAAUUGAGACCAUGAUUACGGUAUCCCUUUUCAUGGUUCUUGAAAUUGCUUAGACACACAGGUGAGCUAUCUACGGAAAGGGUGUAUGAAUCUAAAUUUCAGACUGUCCAGCUGAUUUCUGAGUACAUGUCAAAGCUAGUGGGAGCAUAAGUGUUAUGCUAAUAAUCAUCAUGUUAGUGGGAGCAUGAUAAUUAUGAUAAGUAUUGCAAGUUAGCAAUGUUAAUUAUAGAAAACAAAAGUUUCAAUUGGGAAAAAGUUGUUUUGCUAUAAUUAAGGGAGAGGAAAUUAUGCUUCAUCUCAAAUCUAUAAGCUUAGAUCGUGAGGUUUUAAUCAUUUAGUCAAGGAUAUAUAUGAAUUUCAUGUUGGAAUGGCUCAACAUAAGGAAAUUCUGUAUAUGGGUCCAUUAUUUGCGUUCUAAAAUUCGAUUAUGAUUACGGCAUCCCUUUUCAUAAUCUGAAUUAUGAGAACUUGGCAAAUUGAAAUGGAAAUAUUAUAGCAAAAGACUGGUUUAGUCUUUAUGUAAGACAUCAUGAAUCGUGUCCCAUAUGCUUCGGAUAUAGGAUCGAUUACAUGUGCUAUAUUCAUCCGUUCUAAAAUUUUCCAAAUGCCUGGGGCAUUAAGAAGGGAAAAGGUUUAGAACUGGAUAUGACUAAAAGGAUUAAACAAUUGUCGAGGACAAUCUAAGGUUUACCAAAGAUUGGUUACUCAAGGACAAUUGGAAGUAUAGUGAUAAUUCUGGAAGGACCAUAUUGACAUAAUCUGUAAGGAGGCAACUCUUGUUCAGAAGUGAUAGUCAAAAUGGAAUCUGGAAAUGUUUAAAAGUUAGAAUUUUCAAUCUGUUUAAGAUUAGGAAACUUAAUGCGAGAAAGAUGUUUCCAAGGAGCUGAUAUCCUUUGGAAUACUCUAUAAUGAUUAUUGUCAAGUCUUUCUGAUUUUGUGCAUAAUCAUUACAAGUGGAUCAAUGCAUAUAAGUUUAGAAUCUAAUAGAUUUCAGUAAAUGACAUGAAUUUGGAAUUCUUGCAUUUGCAGUAAGGAUUUGGGAGUGUGAAAAGAGAAUCAUUGAAGUUAUGUUCAAUUGAUCUAGUUCACAAAGUAAAGAUCAUAGACAAACAUAGUAUGCAUACUUGGUGUGUGGCAUGACUAGUGUUUAGAAAACAUAGUGUACAUGCUUGGAGCAUGGGACAACUAUUGUUUUAAAUUCAAGAAUAAAGAUGAUAGCUGAAACAAUAUACAAUGAAUAAUGUGUAAUCAUAUGGUGAUAAAUAAAAGGUGUUUUAUUUAUGUUCAUAGGUUUUGAUACCAUAUUGGAUUCAAUUAUUAUUUCAUUUUGCAUGUUAUGUUUUGACUUCCCGAAUAAACUAGGUUAUUCUUCCGGAAUGACUAAGUUAUUCAAACCAUCCACAGUCGGUCAUAUGUUGGAAGUAGAUAUGAAUUAAGACUGUCAUGGGUUGGCUUGUAGAGGUCUAAGGUGUUGGACAAAGGGCUACAACACUCAUGAGUGCUCAUAAGUUCUGAGUAUUGGAUUCAACCCACGCUCAUUGGAAUCACUUCAUUGAUUUUAUCACGAGUGAUCAUGAGACAAUAAUAUCUUAUAUUCUUCAAACCUAGAGAUAUGAGUUGUUACUAUGAGUUGAUAGUACAUUGAUUGCACGAAAACGCAUUUGGUAACUCGGUGCUAUAAAACGUGCCUUUGUGUAUGAUUCAACAAGUAGUAGAACAAGCCAUAUGAGUCGAAGUUUAUCCGUUCCUUUUACCUUCGGGAUAAAAGCGAUAUCUGUGGGCCCCUCGAUGAUUUGAUGAUGACAAAUGGAAGUGCUCGGCCGGGCCAGGACUGAUUUGAUUUGUUCAAUUAGUCAGUCGUCAUAAAUCGGAAAUCGGGAAACAACAAAUGGACAGAGAGAAUGAUUAUAAUCCAUGUCUCAGU
rnacentral:lncRNA from 1 species